rnacentral:lncRNA from 1 species
AUGCAGAGAAGAAACGAAGCUUUAUUCAGAAGGGAAUUCAAACUGAGCCCGAUACCAGAACAUACAGAAGAAUCCUUGACUACUAGUGAGAGUGGUGAGUUUCUUCACUUUAUUUUUGUUCUUACUGAUUUCAUUCUGUAUAGAAUUAUUGGAGGAACAUUGAGAUUAAAACCUAUUUUUUUACCUACAGAUUCUUAUCA